GGGCUUACUUCGGCGGCACAUAUUCUAAAAUUGGGAAGAUACAAAGAAGAUUAGCAUGACCCCUGAGCAAGGAUGGCAUGAAAAAAAAAAAGUAUAAAAUUCAC